rnacentral:lncRNA from 1 species
GAGGAUAAUAAAUAAAAAGAAGCGAAGAGAGAAAACUGACGAAAUACUAUGUUGGCGUUGACCGUUGGAGGGUUUAAGCAGACGCUAUUCUCCAGAAGAAGUGUUCUUCUUCUUCUUCUUCCUCUUCGUCGACCUCUCUCAGUCACAACAGUCAUCAUGGCGAAUCUGCCGCCUAGGGUUUCUUCGCCGCCUUACUCGACGACUGCUUCCCCUGCUGACGGCGCUCCCGUAAAGCGCGUCGGAACUCA